AUUGGAAAGGCGCCGCCGCCGCCUCCGCCUUGGAGCUCGGGGUGUUUCGGGGGCUGCGGCCACAGGCAGGAAGGCGCUCCUCUCCUGCCCCGCCGACGCCCGGCCAGCCCGCUUCGCCCUGACCUGUUUCCUCAUGACUGCCCCCGGCCCCGCUGCCGACGGACCUCGCCCCGGCGUCCGGAUUUAACACGGAAACCCGGGUCGGAGGCCGCGCGGGGAGGAGGAGGGCGACCCGGUCGGUCCCGCGACCCUCUCGGCCCGGCUCGGCGCCUCGGGGGGAGCCAUGACCUCGCUGACCCAGCGCAGCUCCGGCCUGGUGCAGCGGCGCACCGAGGCCUCCCGCAACGCCGCCGACAAGGAGCGGGCGGCGGGCGGCGGCGCCGGCAGCAGCGAGGACGACGCGCAGAGCCGCCGCGACGAGCAGGACGACGACGACAAGGGCGACUCCAAGGAAACGCGGCUGACCCUGAUGGAGGAAGUGCUCCUGCUGGGCCUCAAGGACCGCGAGGUAAUCUGUAAGUCAGAUGCUCCAACAGGGGAUGUUCUUCUUGAUGAAGCUCUGAAGCAUGUUAAGGAAACUCAGCCUCCAGAAACGGUCCAGAACUGGAUUGAAUUACUUAGUGGUGAGACAUGGAAUCCAUUAAAAUUGCAUUAUCAGUUAAGAA
rnacentral:sRNA from 1 species